rnacentral:rRNA from 1 species
GACGAACGCUGGCGGCGUGCUUAACACAUGCAAGUCGAACGGAAAGGCCCUGCUUUUGUGGGGUGCUCGAGUGGCGAACGGGUGAGUAACACGUGAGUAACCUGCCCUUGACUUUGGGAUAACUUCAGGAAACUGGGGCUAAUACCGGAUAGGAGCUCCUGCUGCAUGGUGGGGGUUGGAAAGUUUCGGCGGUUGGGGAUGGACUCGCGGCUUAUCAGCUUGUUGGUGGGGUAGUGGCUUACCAAGGCUUGGACGGGUAGCCGGCCUGGGAGGGUGACCGGCCACAUUGGGACUGGGAUACGGCCCAGACUCCUACGGGAGGCAGCAGUGGGGAAUAUUGCACAAUGGGCGGAAGCCUGAUGCAGCAACGCCGCGUGCGGGAUGACGGCCUUCGGGCUGUAAACCGCUUUCGCCUGUGACGAAGCGUGAGUGACGGUAAUGGGUAAAGAAGCACCGGCUAACUACGUG